rnacentral:piRNA from 1 species
UGCUUUGUUUAGUGUUGGUGGUUCCUGA